CAAAAGCUAGUUUGAAUCUGGUAAGAUUUUCAUCAUUAUUUAGAAAAGUUCAGGACUGUUCUUGAAACCGAAAGAUAUGCUUCGAAAUUUAUAAUGUCAAAAACCGGCAAAAAGUAACUUUUCAAAGGGAUUUUUUUUUUGCUUUAUCUGGACGGUAAGAAUUUUAAAGCAUUCGGAAUGCUUUUAAAUUCAUACCGUUUAGAUAAAACAAAAAAAAACGGAAUGAUUCCGUUCGGUUUAAAUAACAGUCCUGAAUUCUUCCAAAUGUUGGAAACAAUACAUCCAUUAUCAUUCGGUUGCUAUCAGGACUGUUUUUUGAAACCAAAUGGAAUGCUUAAAAACACUAAACACAUUUCGUUCGGUUUAAAAAACAGUCCACAGCUCUUCCAAACGAUUAUGAAAAUUAUACUGAUAUACUUACCGCGUAAAAAACCAUGUAAAAAAACCGUGUUAAUUCCCGAAAACCGUGUAAAAGAACCGUGCUAAUUCCAAAAAACCGUGUUGAAAAACCGUGCUAAUUCCCGAAAACCGUGUAAAAAAAGACCAUUCAAAUUCUGUAGCUCUGAAAUUUGAAACAAAAAGACAUGUAACUUGACAGUUAAGACCUGAGACCUGAAAUUUAUGACUUGAGACUUGAGAAUGUAGACUAGAGACAUGAAACCUGAGAUCUGAGACCUAAGACUUGAGACUUUAGACAUGACCCAGACAACCAUUUGGUGGGUAUUUCGAAUUUGCAACGCAAAUAUACGUGCAAAUAUACGUGUAAACAUAUCGUAUAUAAUGUAGCAAAACCAGUAUAUACGUAUCAUUUUGGAGGCCAUAUAGGUACAUUAGCAAACAUAUUCUUGAUUUGGAUUGUAUUAAAUUACGAUUUGCACGACUUGUCAUGCGCAUCAUUUACGACUACCCUGAUUCUUUUUGGAAUAUACUAUGACAAUUUACAUCAUCAUAUAGAUGAUUGAGGUUGUAAUAUACGACAUUUUUCGUAACAAUAUGGAAAGUUUGACGACUUAUUUGAUCGUCUUUUGCGACUCUCAUUUUCCGUCAGUUGAAAAAAAAAAUUUUGUUUUUUGGGAUUUUAAACCAAUUGGUUUAUCCAUCCCCAAAAAAUAAUAAAAAUAAGAUUAUUCCAAAGAAAUGUGUUUUUUGCUGUCAAAUUCAAGUUUAUAUCGUACACAUUUAUUAUUUGCCUGAUUGCUGAUUUUUUUCCACGUUCAUGAAUUUAUUGUUAGCACCUGGACUUGAUCCCCUGACGAUUCGAUCAGCAGCUGCAAUGCUUUUAAAUACGAUAAAGAAUAUGCAUGGACCGCACAUUGUAGGUGCAGAUAUACGAAAAUGAGUAUAAAUAACAUUCUAUACGAUGUAAUCUGUAAAAGAAAAUACGACUUCUGGUUGUCUGGGGACACCUGAGACCUGAGAUUUGUUGAAAUGUUAGUUAUCUGGCGUUUUCUGAACAUUAUGAAUUUCAAAGCACUUCGUUCGGUUCUAAAAACGGUCCGGAGCUCAUCCAAAUGAUGAUGACAACUAUAGAGCGCAGGACUGUUCUCGAAACCAAAUGGGAUGACUACACACAAAACUUUCGGAGCUCCACUUAGCAAAAAUUCGCUGUUACUUUCCGUUAGCAAAAAUAUUUUUUUACUUUCGAGUUAGCAAAAAACUAAAUUUACUCAAUUUUAGUAAUAAGAAAGUUAAUCUUGCUUGAUUUUAGUAAAAGUAAGGUUUUCUAGCCGCUUUGUUCAUAGACAGCAGCCGCCGUCAGUUGGGAGAAGAACAACAAAUCGAAUUGAUCAGUGCGGUUCCGAUAAUUCGAUGAUUGCGGUUCGUUUGGUGGCUAGUUCAACGUAAAAAAGGUGGUCAAAUAUACACCGGAUGCGUACAGGUUGCAACUGCCGGUAAACACGACGGUUUUCUUUUUGCAACAGUCUGUAAAUAAAGAGUGACCACAACUGGCAUGUCAACGCGCUGCAUCCGACACAACCCAGGUGCAUUCGUUGAUGAGGGUCGGCCCUUGGCAUUUCGCUCGCCGGAAGGUGCGUUCAGGAACGGAACGAAUUACUUUCAAUUCAACGAAAAGUGGUAAAUGAACUUCCGAAAAAAUGUGAAAAAUAAAUUAAAAGUGAAA